GAUGAACGCUGGCGGCGUGCCUAAUACAUGCAAGUCGAGCGAACGGACGAGAAGCUUGCUUCUCUGAUGUUAGCGGCGGACGGGUGAGUAAAACGUGGAUAACCUACCUAUAAGACUGGGAUAACUUCGGGAAACCGGAGCUAAUACAGGAUAAUAUUUUGAACCGCAUGGUUCAAAAGUGAAAGACGGUCUUGCUGUCACUUAUAGAUGGAUCCGCGCUGCAUUAGCUAGUUGGUAAGGUAACGGCUUACCAAGGCAACGAUGCAUAGCCGACCUGAGAGGGUGAUCGGCCACACUGGAACUGAGACACGGUCCAGACUCCUACGGGAGGCAGCAGUAGGGAAUAUUCCGCAAUGGGCGAAAGCCUGACGGAGCAACGCCGCGUGAGUGAUGAAGGUCUUCGGGUCGUAAAGCUCUGUUAUUAGGGAAGAACAUAUGUGGAAGUAACUGUGCACAUCUUGACGGUACCUAAUCAGAAAGCCACGGCUAACUACGUG
rnacentral:rRNA from 1 species